UUGGCUCCCGACCCUCCGGCUCCCGCCUGGUCCCGCUGGAUUUUCUCCGGGGGCGCUUCCAGCCCACGCGGUUCCUGCCGGUUCUCACUCUGCCGGUCCUGCCAAGAGCCCGUGCUUGGGGAAGGCUGGAGCUGCUCCAGUUUCCCCGGAGCCUGCAUCUUCAGCUGCCUCCUCGUGACAUCCUCCUCCCUCCCUCUCUCCCUCCCCACGCCUGGCAGCCCCUCCGGGUGCCUCUCCAGCCCUGGAGCGCUGUGGAACUCCAGGAGGGAGUUCCUUCCCCCCUCCCAACGCUGGUUGCCACUUCCAGCUCCAGCGAGCCCCGGGCAGGACCCUUCAGCUCCUUUCUGGGGCARCCCUUUCCCCUGCUGGGGCCAGAAGGGAUGGGGGCAGGAGGGGACAGGUGGCCUCGUUGCUCUGCUAGCACGGUGACGUGUCACCUGCGUUAGCAGACCCUGGCACUCGGUGACCCAGAAAGCUGCUUCCUCCCCUCCCUGCCCACAGGGCCCAGCUGGUGUUUGCAGGARCAGCUCCCCAAAGGGAGCCAAAGCUUUCCCUGUGCCCGGUGUUUGUUAAACACGUCCCUGUCCCUGCGGUUCCUCUGGCGCCUGCUGCCCUCCAUCCUCACCCCUAAGCAGUGCCCCAGGGCUGGAUGGAGCUGGAGGGUUGGGAUGCACUGGGAGAGGAGCAAAAGGUACCAAAGGGUCACAGCCAGGGCUGGAAAACAGUCAGGGACCACUUCAGGGGACAGCCAGGGGCUGGCCAGCUCUGCCCCUGGCAGUGAAGGUGGCUCCAUACCCACCCAUCCCCUGAGCCCAUCCUCUUCCUCCCCAUGGCCAGCUCUUGGUGGGCYUUGGCCACUUGCCCUGAUGUGAUCCUCAGCAAGUCACAGCUCAGAGCCCUGUGACAGGAAUCAGGAACUCCUGGAAGGGAUCUGGGAGUCUCACAGUGACCCUGGGAAGGGGGUGUUGAACCCACUGUGCUGCUGCUGCUCCUGGCACUCAGCUCUCCCUAACCCUGGUCAUCCAUCAGUGACCAGAACUCCACACCAGAGGGGCUCCACGCCGUUCCCAGCUACCUCAAGAUGCAAAACCCCCAUUUUUUUAAACCUGCACAAAGGCUUUUGUUUUGUUUCCCAGCCCUGGGAAGACAGGAAGGGGUGUUUGACGCUGUGUUUGUGCCUCUYAGGUGUCAGCAGAGCAGCUGGAGCUGUGCUGCACCCGCAGAACUAACCACAGGUAUUUUAGCAGCCUGGUGUUUAUGUUUCCUUCCCCUGCUGCAGCAAGACAAUCGCUUUCUGUCACCGUUGUAGCAACAACUGCUGCUCCAGGCCAGGCUAAUUCCAGCCCUCGUGGGUUUGGGGCUGUUUGUUCUCACCCAGCAGCAGCAAACAGGUAGUUUUGGAGACAGGCAGCAAAAUAGCUCAGUGUGGGGGCGGGAUUUGUGCUGCUGUGACCGGAUUUGUGCUGCCAGGGAGUGAUCCCUGGCAUCCACGGGAUGCUGCGUGCUCUGAGUUUGGGAUGGGAUCURGAAAGAUCAGGUUUGCCAGGCUCUGCUUCAGGACUUGUCCUCAAACUCCUGGGUUUCGCAGCUGAACAGGAGAAGAAAAAGGAGAAGUAAAUUGGUUAAUUYGUUGGUUUUCUGUGGAAAGAAAGAAAGGAGCUGUGGGUUGUGAACAUCUCUGGGCAGCACUGUGCCUGCAGCUGGAGCUGCAGCCUUGCCCCUGUGCCACCCUCCCCGCUCCUGCAGCUCCGUSAGGACUCAGUUAUUUGACAAAUCGGAGGAGUCAGAUCGGGAAGGAAAUCAGCUCUCCCCAGAUUUAUGAUUUUCAUCAGACAUGGCAGGCCCAAACCAGCAGAAAGCAGAGCAAAACCACCCAUUUCCUCUCCCUGCCGCCCUUUCUGCCCAUCCCAGCCGGGCUCGGUGGGGCUCUGAUCCCACCGGACACCUCCCAAACUCCUGGGAUCUGCCCUCUCCCGAUUUCGGGGUGAAGUUCCACGCUUCCCCUCCUUUCCCUUCCCUGCCUCCCGCAGCCGGGGGGUGUUUAAUGUGCGGCCGGCGUUCCCCGCAGCCCGGCGCCCUGCAUUUGAACCGCUGCUUUUCAGCUCCGGCUGGAAAGGAGCCGGCGCGGGGCCUCGCCUCUUAAUUGCGGAGGAGGGGAACAUGGAAAAGCCUCUGGCUGCUGCUAAUGCAGGCGAAGGCGGCUGCUCCGGAGGCGCAGCUUUCUCCCGGGCAUCCUCCCAGCGGGGUGGGACCCGACCCGGAGCGCCCGUCCUGGGAAUGGAUUGCUCCUCAACCCUCGCCUCUCUUUCCCAGCGCCAGCGGAGAGGGCCGGCGGCGGAGCUGGAGAGCCGGGUCCCGCUGAGAGGAUGAAAACAUGGGGCUCAAGUUAUCCUGCCUGAAAGGCUUGAAAACGUGCGUGAGCAGCGGGAACGGCGGCGACGGGACCCUGGCGGCGUCCUCGGGACAGAAACACCUGCACGUCCCCUCCAUCAUCGUCACACCGCCCACGCCCACGGGGACAACGCUGUCCCGGGAGGGGCGGCGCGGAGGGGCCCCGUCACCCUGCAGCCAGUGCUGAGCGGGGACACGGGGGACAGCCAGCCCCGCAGGACCUGUCCCCGCCCCGCCGGGAUGGAGCCGCAGCCUCCAGGACGCGGCUCGGCCGGCUGCAGCUCGGCCCCACGCCCCUUGGGUGGGUUUGGACAGCAGGGACUGGGUUGUGUCCCUUCUCCUGACAGCGCUGGGGAAGGGGAUCCCCCCCGAUGAAUAAAACCCCCGGGGCUCCGCACCCCA